CACCAGUACGUUCUCCAGCAGGGUGAUGGGACCCGCCAGGAAACAGAUGGAGCCAAUGGCUGUUUUCUCCGCCUGGAUGAGGACCAUGUAGCACUCCAGAUUCUCACAAGAUGUGUUAACUGAGAGGAAAACAGCAGCAGAGACGACGACAGAAAGACAGCGCAGACCUUUACAGAGCUGACUGGUGGCACAGAGUGGGAGCGAGGGGAGAAGAUAAGAUCCCCAGACGGUCAGACAGCAGCAUCAGAACACUGAUGGGAUAAACACAAGAAAAAAUGAAUAGUAAAAACCCCAUUAGUUCAUGCUAAAUGUUUUGAUUAUGCUUAAUUAUUUCCUUCGGUUCUUGGAAAGAUUAUAUUCUAUUAUAAACUAUUAAUAAAUGGCUUAAUUAUUCAUUUGGAAGAAAAACUAAAAACUUCAAAUAUGUAGAAAAAAAAGCUAAAAUUAUUGGACCUUUGGAAACAAUCAGAUAAGAAUAACUCAAAAUUUAAUUCGUACAUUACUGCCAAUAUUUCAAUUUUCAAAGCCAGAGAAAUUCCUAACAAUUAGCAGUUGUAGUGGGGCAAGUCUUAUAAUGACAGCUGUCAUGACAGAGCUGCAGUGACAGAUAUGAAAUGUUUAUCAGUGCCAUGGAACCACUACACUAUAUACCCCAUAUGCAACACUAUAUGGACAAAAGUGUUUUCCAGCCUGACCAUUACGCCAACAGGGACAGUAAUGACAUUGUAUCCAAAUACAUGUACUUAAAUAUAGA